rnacentral:lncRNA from 1 species
GCAGAAUAAGAAGCUUGCGCAGGAUCUUGCUGCUGCUGAGGCCAAGGUUGCAGCUUUUCAUAUUCGUGACCAGGUACAGAAAGAAACUUUUUUUCUUCUUGUUUUUCUUUUGGUUUACUACUCCCGAGAAGGCUGCUUUUGAAUCUGGUGUUUCAUUUCAAAGGAACAAAUUCGCCAAACAGGAGAGAAUUUUCAGUUUUCAGGAUUAAUGAUUAUUCAUAUUAUUUCCGAUUGCUAUUUUGAAUCAAGGAGUCAAAUGGAAAGCAGAAAAGCCCUAUAUUUAAGGACAUUCAGAAACUCAUUGCAAACAAAUUGGAGAAUUCAACAGUUAAAAAGGAGGCAAUCAAUGGGCCAACUAUAGUUAAAUUACCGUGUCCACCGCCGCCGCCACCACUGCGUCUCAUGCCCAAAGCUGCUGACGCAGGAAGAGAGGCUCAAUCUGUCUCCUCUUUGCCACUGCCACCUCCUCCACCGCCCCCGCCCCCAAUGAGACCCGUAGCG